CGCGUAGGCGGGACCGUAUGUCAGAGGUGAAAUCCUCCGGCCCAACCGGAGAACUGCCUUUGAAACUGCGGUUCUUGAGCGAAGCAGGGGGGAGUGGAACUCUCGGUGGAGCGGUGGAAUGCGUUGAUAUCGAGGGGAACGUCGGUGGCGAAGGCGACUCCCUAUGCUUCUGCUGACGCUGAAGUGCGAAAGCCAGGGGAGCGAACG
rnacentral:rRNA from 1 species